ACUCCUACGGGAGGCAGCAGUGGGGAAUUUUGGGCAAUGGGCGAAAGCCUGACCCUGCAACGCCGCGUGAAGGAUGAAAUCCCUCGGGAUGUAAACUUCGCAAGAACGGGAAGAAUAAGUAAGAGUUAACAUCUCUUAUGAUGACGGUACUGUUUGUAAGCUCCGGCUAACUCCGUGCCAGCAGCCGCGGUAAUACGGGGGGAGCAAGCGUUGUUCGGAUUUACUGGGCGUAAAGGGCGCGUAGGCGGCCACCGCAAGUCGACUGUGAAAUCUCCGGGCUUAACCCGGAAAGGUCAGCCGAUACUGCGGGGCUAGAGUGCAGAAGGGGCAACUGGAAUUCUCGGUGUAGCGGUGAAAUGCGUAGAUAUCGAGAGGAACACCUGCGGCGAAGGCGGGUUGCUGGGCUGACACUGACGCUGAUGCGCGAAAGCUAGGGGAGCGAACGGGAUUAGAUACCCCGGUAGUCCUAGCCUUAAACGAUGAAUGCUUGGUGUCUGGGGUUUUAUAGUCCCCGGGUGCCGUCGCUGACGCUUUAAGCAUUCCGCCUGGGGAGUACGGUCGCAAGACUGAAACUCAAAGGAAUUGACGGGGACCCGCACAAGCGGUGGAGCAUGUGGUUUAUUCGACGCAACGCGAAGAACCUUACCUGGGCUAGAAUGCCUUCGACAGCCGUAGAGAUACGGUCUCUUGGGUAAAACCAAGCGAAGUGCAAGGUGCUGCAUGGCUGUCGUCAGCUCGUGUCGUGAGAUGUUGGGUUAAGUCCCGCAACGAGCGCAACCCUUAUCAAUAGUUGCCAGCGGUUCGGCCGGGCACUCUAUUGAGACUGCCGUUGACAAAACGGAGGAAGGUGGGGAUGACGUCAAGUCCUCAUGGCCUUUAUGUCCAGGGCUACACACGUGCUACAGUGGCGAGUACAAAGCGCUGCAAACCUGCAAGGGGGAGCCAAUCGCAAAAAGCUCGUCUCAGUUCGGAUUGGAGUCUGCAACUCGACUCCAUGAAGUUGGAAUCGCUAGUAA
rnacentral:rRNA from 1 species